CCAGACUCCUACGGGAGGCAGCAGUGAGGAAUCUUCCACAAUGGGCGAAAGCCUGAUGGAGCAACGCCGCGUGCAGGAUGAAGGCCUUCGGGUUGUAAACUGCUUUUAUAAGUGAGGAAUAUGACGGUAGCUUAUGAAUAAGGAUCGGCUAACUACGUGCCAGCAGCCGCGGUCAUACGUAGGAUCCGAGCGUUAUCCGGAGUGACUGGGCGUAAAGAGUUGCGUAGGUGGUUGUAUAAGUGAAUAGUGAAAUCUGGUGGCUCAACCAUACAGGCUAUUGUUCAAACUGUACAACUUGAGAGUGGUAGAGGUCACUGGAAUUUCUUGUGUAGGAGUGAAAUCCGUAGAUAUAAGAAGGAACACCAAUGGCGUAGGCAGGUGGCUGGACCAUUUCUGACGCUAAGGCACGAAAGCGUGGGGAGCGAACCGGAUUAGAUACCCGGGUAGUCCACGCCGUAACGAUGGAUACUGGCUGUUGGAGGUAUCGACCCCUUCAGUAGCGAAGCUAACGCGUUAAGUAUCCCGCCUGUGGAGUACGGCCGCAAGGCUAAAACAUAAAGGAAUUGACGGGGGCCCGCACAAG
rnacentral:rRNA from 1 species